rnacentral:rRNA from 1 species
AUUGAACGCUGGCGGCAGGCCUAACACAUGCAAGUCGAACGGUAACAGAAAGCAGCUUGCUGCUUUGCUGACGAGUGGCGGACGGGUGUGUAAUGUCUGGGAAACUGCCUGAUGGAGGGGGAUAACUACUGGAAACGGUAGCUAAUACCGCAUAACGUCGCAAGACCAAAGAGGGGGACCUUCGGGCCUCUUGCCAUCGGAUGUGCCCAGAUGGGAUUAGCUAGUAGGUGGGGUAACGGCUCACCUAGGCGACGAUCCCUAGCUGGUCUGAGAGGAUGACCAGCCACACUGGAACUGAGACACGGUCCAGACUCCUACGGGAGGCAGCAGUGGGGAAUAUUGCACAAUGGGCGCAAGCCUGAUGCAGCCAUGCCGCGUGUAUGAAGAAGGCCUUCGGGUUGUAAAGUACUUUCAGCGGGGAGGAAGGGAGUAAAGUUAAUACCUUUGCUCAUUGACGUUACCCGCAGAAGAAGCACCGGCUAACUCCGUG